rnacentral:rRNA from 1 species
CCUACGGGUGGCAGCAGUGAGGAAUAUUGGUCAAUGGACGGGAGCCUGAACCAGCCAAGUAGCGUGAAGGAUGACUGGCCUAUGGGUUGUAAACUUCUUUUAUCUGGGAAUAACGUGUUCCACGUGUGGGAUUUUGUAUGUACCAUAUGAAUAAGGAUCGGCUAACUCCGUGCCAGCAGCCGCGGUAAUACGGAGGGUCCGAGCGUUAUCCGGAUUUAUUGGGUUUAAAGGGAGCGUAGGUGGAUGGUUAAGUCAGUUGUGAAAGUUUGCGGCUCAACCGUAAAAUUGCAGUUGAAACUGGCAGUCUUGAGUACAGUAGAGGUGGGCGGAAUGCGUGGUGUAGCGGUGAAAUGCUUAGAUAUCACGAAGAACUCCGAUUGCGAAGGCAGCUCACUGGAGUGCAACUGACACUGAUGCUCGAAAGUGUGGGUAUCAAACAGGAUUAGAUACCCGAGUAGUC